GAUGAACUCUGGCGGCGCGCCUAACACAUGCAAGUCGAACGGCACCUAUCUUCGGAUAGAAGCGAGUGGCGAACGGCUGAGUAACACGUGGAGAACCUGCCCCCUCCCCCGGGAUAGCCGCCCGAAAGGACGGGUAAUACCGGAUACCCCGGGGUGCCGCAUGGCACCCCGGCUAAAGCCCCGACGGGAGGGGAUGGCUCCGCGGCCCAUCAGGUAGACGGCGGGGUGACGGCCCACCGUGCCGACAACGGGUAGCCGGGUUGAGAGACCGACCGGCCAGAUUGGGACUGAGACACGGCCCAGACUCCUACGGGAGGCAGCAGUGGGGAAUCUUGCGCAAUGGGGGGAACCCUGACGCAGCGACGCCGCGUGCGGGACGGAGGCCUUCGGGUCGUAAACCGCUUUCAGCAGGGAAGAGUCAAGACUGUACCUGCAGAAGAAGCCCCGGCUAACUACGUGCCAGCAGCCGCGGUAAUACGUAGGGGGCGAGCGUUAUCCGGAUUCAUUGGGCGUAAAGCGCGCGUAGGCGGCCCGGCAGGCCGGGGGUCGAAGCGGGGGGCUCAACCCCCCGAAGCCCCCGGAACCUCCGCGGCUUGGGUCCGGUAGGGGAGGGUGGAACACCCGGUGUAGCGGUGGAAUGCGCAGAUAUCGAGUGGAACACCGGUGGCGAAGGCGGCCCUCUGGGCCGAGACCGACGCUGAGGCGCGAAAGCUGGGGGAGCGAACAGGAUUAGAUACCCUGGUAGUCCCAGCC
rnacentral:rRNA from 1 species